ACGGUCCGAACUCGACCGGCAGCGAGGCUCAGCACUGCGCAACACCACCACCACUACCACCCCACCAGUAGUAUACUUGAGCCGGUGAUGUGGAGGAAGGCUCCCGGAUCUGUUCUCAGAGUAUUGAAAAGAUAAAAAUCAAGUCAUUUGUCUACAUCCACAGCAAGCCUUCUACAAUAAGAAAAUCUCCCAUGGGAUUACUGAGUGUGAUGCAGAAGUACUGGCAAGCUUGACGUAAUUGGGUGUGGCGCUGUCUUUGCUUAGUCCUGCACUUCCUGUCCUAGAGAAGAGAAGAUUCAUCAUACUUUUGUAUUCGUGCGGCGUGAAGGUGAAGUGGAGGUGCGGCUUGAUAGGUGGGCUUCACAAGUUCCUGCGCAGCGACACAUACAGGCUUCUAGUGACAGCAGGACGAUGUGUUCAUCGCCUAGCCCACAAGGAGAUGCCGAUACUAACACCUGCAAUAGGAGAAAUCCUGAGCCACCUGUAGUAACAACAUUAAUUAAGCUCAAGGGGCUCAGGGAAGCGGGUAUGUGAAAGGAAGAGAGGGAGGUACUUGAUCUGAAUGACCGAGAUCGGAAAGGGACGGAAAGUUCACGACAGAGUAGAUAGAGAUAGUGGAGUAGCUUUUGUGUAUAGAAAAGGAAAAGCAAUUUUAGAAUAGGAAAACUAGAUGUAGAAAACGGUGCCAUGAAAUAAGAGAUUUGUUGAAAAUGUGAGGAAUGCAACAACCAGCUUGAUUGGGUAUUAUUAUGGUUACGAAGCUAGGGACGCCAGGAGGGAGAUUGAAUGGGAAUAUGUUGGCAGUUGAGAGAAAGGUCACGAGUUUAUAUGGGAAGAGUGGAGAUUUAGGCGAGUUACUUGGCCUACAGAAGUAUGAUGUGAAGAAGCUGAAGGAUGUGUGUAUAAAGGCAAAAAUAGAAUAGGAAGGCAGUAGGGCCAGAAGAGAUAUCGUAUAAAAUGGGAGCCACAUCUGAGGAACGACGUGCAAGUGGUUGGUAGUGUGAGUAUGUGAUGAUCGGAAAGGGAAGAUAGAGAGUGUACAAGGUGCUGGAAUGUAAGUUGUAUGAAAGAGGAAAUGGAUGCAAAGGCUAAGAGGAGAAUGAGAGGAUGGGAAUUUCCAAGUAGACCUGAAUGAUAUGGAUGAAAAUGUGAGGAAUGCAGCAACCAGCUUGAUUGGGUAUUAUGUUACAACGAGGCUAGGGACGCCAGGAGGGAGAUUGAAUGAAUGGGAAGCAUAAGAAUGAAGAGGCAGAAAGUGAAUACCAAAAAUGCAUGCAUGAACAGCGUGUGCGCGUCAGCUGCGAGUGACGAAGCGGAAGAUAAAUGAAUGUGAAUGUUAUAAGGAUAAUUAUGAGAGAAACGUGAUUUAGUCCCUCAGAGAUGGUGAUAAAAAAAACUAUAGAUUCUUGAGGGGUGAAGAAGGAAGGGACUGCCUGACUAAGAGAAUGUGGAGAGCCUGAAGGUGAAUCGAGCAGGUAAUGAAAAAAUUAGAAAGUUCACAAAAGAGUUAUGGGAAGAGAGAGUGGAGAUUUAGGUGAGUUACUUGGCCUACAGAAGUAUGAUGUGAAGAGAUACCGUAUGAGAGGUACAAAAAUGAAGGCACUUUUACCAGGUAUGGGAGGAGGAUGGAGGGAAUUUGAUGU
rnacentral:lncRNA from 1 species